AGAGGGUCCUGUGGCACCUUUGAGACUAACAGAAGUACUGGGAGCAUAAGCUUUCGUGGGUAAGAACCUCACUUCUUCAGAUGCAAGUGCACUAUGCUUAUGCUCCCAGUACUUCUGUUAGUCUCAAAGGUGCCACAGGACCCUCUGUUGCUUUUUACAGAUUCAGACUAACACGGCUACCCCUCUGAUACUAUCUUGAAGCUGAAACUUGUGACCCAGCCUAAUGAUACAGGGUUGAUUAUUCAGACACUGAGAAAGGUUUCAAAAUUCACUAGUGUUAAAGAAAUAUGAAUUAUAACUGCAGCCACUCAACUGGAAAAUAUAAUAGUUUCUAUGGAGUUUGGUUUUGUUCCAUUGCACAUUAUGCCAGGUGUUCUAGUAAUCGAGAAUACAAUAGUUAAUAUUUUAUAAACAUAGAGCAAUGGACAUUUCAUCUUAAAAAACCAAGCCACUAUAUAUUUGUUUUUCUUUAUAUACAUUUGCACUAACAAGCCACUGUGAUGGUUACAGGGAAAGGAUUAAGUAUCUUCAAGAGGCAAACUGAAGACUCAUUCUUUUAAAGUUGGAGGUCAUCUGCAGUUUGUGGGGAAAACAAGUAAGGGGCUGUUUCAGAUUCACCAAAGAAUUUCAAGUGGGAUAUUAUUGCUCCGUGCAAAUUACCCAUUUGUUUUCUGUUGGAUCAAACUGUUUGUCAGUGGGAGAGCUGCAACUUCAGGAGAACUUAUGCACAGAAAUAUGAGGCUUGGCUGGUCCUAGGGAGCAGGAUUGAUUUUCAGUGGCUGGAGACAUCAGAGAGAAGCUGUCCUGUAUUCAAACCGAAGCUGCUGAACUGUAAAUAAAACUGGAAAAAACUAAGGCAGACUUUGCAUCUUUCUUUUUAGAGUUACCACAGAGUAGUUUAUCCAUAGUUGUGUAGCAAACAGUAGAAUGAGCAUUUGUAACUGCCUCUUUUUUUAAAAUACUAAUUCUUUUUUUUUCAAAGAGGCCUUGUUUUAAUUAUAUAUUUAUAUGAACUAAUCACUUGCAAAUUAGAUGGUCUUGUGCUUCUUGGCUCUGCUCCUCAUGAGUAGCUCUGAGCCUCUUUCUUACUUUUAAGUUUAAGGAUUUUAACUGAGAUAGGCCCUUGUACAGGCUGUGCAAGGUCAGGAGACCCCUGGCACCUAUAUAUAUAUAUGUAGCCAGAUAUCAUUUUUAAAAAUACUUAUUAUUUCUCACUCUAUAAACCAGUUCUGUAGUGGUACCUUUCCAAUGCUGUAUGAUAUAUAACACUUUUCUUUUCUUUUGGUUAAAUUGUAUUUGGCACUACUGCUGUAUUUAGUAGGUUUAAGGUUUAAAAUAAUUAUUCUCCAAUAUUGAAUGUCCCCUUGAUAAGGAUCUUGAAAUGAAAUAUAAUUGUGUAACUGAAAAUCAUAUUCCAUUUCUACCAUUCCAGAUCUUGGGUAGCUAAAUAGACAGAUCCACUUAUGAAUUCCAGUCUCCUGAAAAUUCCAGUUUAUGCCUGAAUGUAUCUGGAAAAUAAUGUGACAGAAGAAAGUUGCUAAUAACUCAUGAACCCAGAAAUAUUUGCAUGUUGUUCCUGAGGGCACAGAUUAUAUUUGAUUUUUUAAAAACUAACUGACAAAGACAUUUUCUUUCUUUCUUUCUUUCUUUCUUUCUUUCUUUCUUUCUUUCUUUCUUUCUUUCGACAAAGGUCUAUUCAAAGUUUGACUCAGUGUGCAUACAGUAAAAUGUAACCGUUUUGUGCUCUGAAUCGGUGUCAAAAUUGACUUCUUAGUAAUCACAGGAAACCCCAAAGUCCAUGAAAAAUGCAUAAUACACUGUAAAUGAAAAUCCAAAACUUCUCAGCCUUUUGUAGCUAAUAAAAAUGUUGUCUAAGAAUAUUAAUCA
rnacentral:lncRNA from 1 species